GACGAACGCUGGCGGCGUGCUUAACACAUGCAAGUCGAACGGAAAGGCCCCUUCGGGGGUACUCGAGUGGCGAACGGGUGAGUAACACGUGGGUGAUCUGCCCUGCACUUCGGGAUAAGCCUGGGAAACUGGGUCUAAUACCGGAUAGGACCACGGGAUGCAUGUCCUGUGGUGGAAAGCUUUUGCGGUGUGGGAUGGGCCCGCGGCCUAUCAGCUUGUUGGUGGGGUGACGGCCUACCAAGGCGACGACGGGUAGCCGGCCUGAGAGGGUGUCCGGCCACACUGGGACUGAGAUACGGCCCAGACUCCUACGGGAGGCAGCAGUGGGGAAUAUUGCACAAUGGGCGCAAGCCUGAUGCAGCGACGCCGCGUGGGGGAUGACGGCCUUCGGGUUGUAAACCUCUUUCAGCAGGGACGAAGCGCAAGUGACGGUACCUGCAGAAGAAGCACCGGCCAACUACGUGCCAGCAGCCGCGGUAAUACGUAGGGUGCGAGCGUUGUCCGGAAUUACUGGGCGUAAAGAGCUCGUAGGUGGUUUGUCGCGUUGUUCGUGAAAACCGGGGGCUUAACCCUCGGCGUGCGGGCGAUACGGGCAGACUGGAGUACUGCAGGGGAGACUGGAAUUCCUGGUGUAGCGGUGGAAUGCGCAGAUAUCAGGAGGAACACCGGUGGCGAAGGCGGGUCUCUGGGCAGUAACUGACGCUGAGGAGCGAAAGCGUGGGGAGCGAACAGGAUUAGAUACCCUGGUAGUCCACGCCGUAAACGGUGGGUACUAGGUGUGGGUUUCCUUCCUUGGGAUCCGUGCCGUAGCUAACGCAUUAAGUACCCCGCCUGGGGAGUACGGCCGCAAGGCUAAAACUCAAAGGAAUUGACGGGGGCCCGCACAAGCGGCGGAGCAUGUGGAUUAAUUCGAUGCAACGCGAAGAACCUUACCUGGGUUUGACAUGCACAGGACGCCGGCAGAGAUGUCGGUUCCCUUGUGGCCUGUGUGCAGGUGGUGCAUGGCUGUCGUCAGCUCGUGUCGUGAGAUGUUGGGUUAAGUCCCGCAACGAGCGCAACCCUUGUCUCAUGUUGCCAGCGGGUAAUGCCGGGGACUCGUGAGAGACUGCCGGGGUCAACUCGGAGGAAGGUGGGGAUGACGUCAAGUCAUCAUGCCCCUUAUGUCCAGGGCUUCACACAUGCUACAAUGGCCGGUACAAAGGGCUGCGAUGCCGCGAGGCUUAGCGAAUCCUUUUAAAGCCGGUCUCAGUUCGGAUCGGGGUCUGCAACUCGACCCCGUGAAGUCGGAGUCGCUAGUAAUCGCAGAUCAGCAACGCUGCGGUGAAUACGUUCCCGGGCCU
rnacentral:rRNA from 1 species